UCUAAAUUUUCGUAUUUUGAUUUUUUAGGGGUUUUUAGAAGAUCCAUUCAGAUCCAUCUACCCCAUUAACGAUCUGGAAGAUAUUUGGUCAGACGGGAUAACCGUGACUGCGAGGGAACAUUUGGCAAAUAUUGCUUCCUUGUGUGUUAAGAAACUCAACGAGGAGAAGGGUUCGUCUGUGGAAGUUGUAAGCAUUGUGAGAGCCAAUCUAAAACCAGGAGGUGGGUAUAAGCUCUACAUCACCUUUAUGGCUCGAGAGCAUCCCGAUGGUCCUCUUGUGGAGUAUCAAGCCAAGGCCAUGGAUUUUGCAGGAGGCAGAAAACCUACCUUUCCCAUUCUCUGCAGACCAGCUUCUAGCAUAUCCUCCCAUUCUCUGCAGACCAGCUUCUAGGAUAUCCUAGUCUAUGAAUUGCAUUAGAAUUGGUAUGUUGUUGCCGGUCUCUGCGGAACACACAGAUCAAAGUGUAUCGAAAUGAUGUUUUCAAGUUAUAAAGUAAGUUGAGUCCGAGGUGGAUUUACGUUUUGUCUUAAUGUUAGCUAUGUCUUUGGGAUACAAUUGACACUCGUGCACUGAGGGGAGAUGCUUACUGGCAGAUA